CUGUAUGGUGGGUCGGUAUCAGGCUAGCUUCGGCUAGGCCGUACCUUUGGGCGGUAGUCUCAACCUGUUAUUUGACCCACCACCUCU
rnacentral:antisense_RNA from 1 species